rnacentral:ncRNA from 1 species
CAAAGGUUUGGUCCUAGCCUUUUUAUUGAUACCUAGUAGACUUACACAUGCAAAUUUCCCUGCCCCAGUGAGAAUGCCCUCUAUAUCAAAUUGAUCUAAAGGAGCGGGUAUCAAGCUCACUAUUCAGUUGCUCAUAACGCCUUGCUCAACCACACCCCCACGGGACACAGCAGUGAUUAAGAUUAAGCCCAUGAACGAAAGUUCGACUAAGUCCUACUAAUAUUAGGGUUGGUAAAUUUCGUGCCAGCCACCGCGGUCAUACGAUUAACCCUAGUCAAUAAAGCACGGCGUAAAGCGUGAUUAGAAAAAAAAACUAAAUAAGACUAAGCCCAGACUAAGCUGUAAAAAGCCCUAGUUAUAGUUAAAAUAGCUAAACGAAAGUAGUCUUAAAACCUUUGAACUCACGAUAGCUAAGACCCAAACUGGGAUUAGAUACCCCACUAUGCUUAGCCCUAAACAUAGACACUCAAAUAACAAGACUGUCCGCCAGAGUACUACUAGCUACAGCUUAAAACUCAAAGGACUUGGCGGUGCUUUACAUCCCUCUAGAGGAGCCUGUUCUAUAAUCGAUAAACCCCGAUAUACCUUACCACCCUUUGCAAUUAUCAGCCUAUAUACCGCCAUCUUCAGCAAACCUUAACAAAGCCUCAUAGUAAGCGCAAUAAUAGGGCAUAAAUACGUUAGGUCAAGGUGUAGCCUAUAGGGUGGAAAGAAAUGGGCUACAUUUUCUAAAAUAAUAGAACNAUNNUUCUUACGAUAGCUUUUAUGAAAUUAAAAGCCGAAGGCGGAUUUAGUAGUAAGUUAGGAAUAGAGAGCCUAGCUGAAUUGGGCAAUAAAGCACGCACACACCGCCCGUCACCCUCUUCAAGUACUACAGACAGACNNNNNNNNNNNNNNNNNNNNNNNUCAAUAGCACAAGAAGAGACAAGUCGUAACAAGGUAAGCAUACUGGAAAGUGUGCUUGGAAUAAU